rfam:Campylobacter mucosalis strain DSM 21682 contig00005, whole genome shotgun sequence.
GUAUGGUUGCCUUGUGAUGUGGCUUCAUUUGAGCUUUAAACGGCGAGAAGUUGCAACCUUUCGGUAGUCAUCUAUUUGCAAGAUUGGCUUGAUUUUGGGCCACUCUUUUAUGCGACGCUCACUCGGGU